AGAGCGAACGCUGGCGGCAGGCUUAACACAUGCAAGUCGAGCGGGCGUAGCAAUACGUCAGCGGCAGACGGGUGAGUAACGCGUGGGAACGUACCUUUGGUUCGGAACAACACAGGGAAACUUGUGCUAAUACCGGAUAAGCCCUUACGGGGAAAGAUUUAUCGCCAAAAGAUCGGCCCGCGUCUGAUUAGCUAGUUGGUGAGGUAACGGCUCACCAAGGCGACGAUCAGUAGCUGGUCUGAGAGGAUGAUCAGCCACAUUGGGACUGAGACACGGCCCAAACUCCUACGGGAGGCAGCAGUGGGGAAUAUUGGACAAUGGGCGCAAGCCUGAUCCAGCCAUGCCGCGUGAGUGAUGAAGGCCCUAGGGUUGUAAAGCUCUUUUGUGCGGGAAGAUAAUGACGGUACCGCAAGAAUAAGCCCGGCUAACUUCGCGCCAGCAGCCGC
rnacentral:rRNA from 1 species